CCUACGGGAGGCAGCAGUGGGGAAUUUUGGACAAUGGGGGCAACCCUGAUCCAGCAAUGCCGCGUGAGUGAAGAAGGCCUUCGGGUUGUAAAGCUCUUUUGUCAGGGAAGAAACAGCAGCUCUAACACAGACUGCGAAUGACGGUACCUGAAGAAUAAGCACCGGCUAACUACGUGCCAGCAGCCGCGGUAAUACGUAGGGUGCGAGCGUUAAUCGGAAUUACUGGGCGUAAAGCGUGCGCAGGCGGUUAUACAAGACAGGCGUGAAAUCCCCGGGCUUAACCUGGGAAUGGCGUCUGUGACUGUAUAGCUAGAGUGUGUCAGAGGGGGGUGGAAUUCCACGUGUAGCAGUGAAAUGCGUAGAUAUGUGGAGGAACACCAAUGGCGAAGGCAGCCCCCUGGGAUAACACUGACGCUCAUGCACGAAAGCGUGGGGAGCAAACAGGAUUAGAUACCCUGGUAGUCCACGCCCUAAACGAUGCUGACUAGUUGUUGGGAAUUUACAUUCUCAGUAACGUAGCUAACGCGUGAAGUNAGCGCCGNGGNGGUACGGUCGCGAGAGUAAACGUACAANAGAGUAGACGGCGUGAGACGAGCCGACGGACGACGACGAGGGGAGGUAGGG
rnacentral:rRNA from 1 species